rnacentral:rRNA from 1 species
GACGAACGCUGGCGGCGUGCUUAACACAUGCAAGUCGAACGGAAAGGCCCUUCGGGGUACUCGAGUGGCGAACGGGUGAGUAACACGUGGGUGAUCUGCCCUGCACUUUGGGAUAAGCCUGGGAAACUGGGUCUAAUACCGAAUAGGACCACGCGCUUCAUGGUGUGUGGUGGAAAGCUUUUACGGUGUGGGAUGGGCCCGCGGCCUAUCAGCUUGUUGGUGGGGUAAUGGCCUACCAAGGCGACGACGGGUAGCCGGCCUGAGAGGGUGACCGGCCACACUGGGACUGAGAUACGGCCCAGACUCCUACGGGAGGCAGCAGUGGGGAAUAUUGCACAAUGGGCGCAAGCCUGAUGCAGCGACGCCGCGUGAGGGAUGACGGCCUUCGGGUUGUAAACCUCUUUCAAUAGGGACGAAGCGCAAGUGACGGUACCUAUAGAAGAAGCACCGGCCAACUACGUG